AUUGAACGCUGGCGGCAGGCUUAACACAUGCAAGUCGAACGAGUGGCGGACGGGUGAGUAAUGCUUGGGCAUCUGGCUUAUGGAGGGGGAUAACUACGGGAAACUGUCGCUAAUACCUCGUACCAUAGGAUGAGCCCAAGUGGGAUUAGGUAGUUGGUGGGGUAAAGGCUCACCAAGCCGACGAUCACUAGCUGGUCUGAGAGGAUGACCAGCAAAACGGGGACUGCGAAACGGCCCAGACUCCUACGGAAGGCAGAAGUGGGGAAUAUUGCGCAAUGGGGGAAACCUGACGCAGCCAUGCCGCGUGAAUGAAGAAGGCCUUCGGGUUGUAAGGUUCUUUCGGUAGGGAGGCGUUAACUAAAGAAGAAGCACCGGCUAACUCCGUGCCAGCAGCCGCGGUAAUAC
rnacentral:rRNA from 1 species